rnacentral:rRNA from 1 species
AACUUUCAGCAACGGAUCUCUUGGCUCUCGCAUCGAUGAAGAACGCAGCGAAAUGCGAUAAGUAAUGUGAAUUGCAGAAUUCAGUGAAUCAUCGAAUCUUUGAACGCACCUUGCGCCCUUUGGCUAUUCCAAAGGGCAUGCCUGUUUGAGUAUCAUG